rnacentral:misc_RNA from 1 species
CGAGCACACCAAGUUGCAGGCACCCACCAGCCCACACCAACCCACCCACACACACACACACUUAUAUAUAUAUAUAUAUAUAUUAGACGUGCACUCAAGUUCAUAGACUGCAGAAGAAGAUAGGCGCAUAUCCUGUGUGAGCAGCGACGAAGACGGCGGGGCAUCAGAGAGACCCCAUCUCUGCCGCCACGCCGUCGAUUACGUCCACGGCGGAUACGCACGUACACACAGAAGAGGAGGGCCGACAGACACCCCGGAGCAGACGCAUGUUCGACGCUCUUCGCUCCAUUCGGCGGCAGGCCGAUGCCGUGCAGGCGGCGGCACAAAAACGUUGCCUUUUUGACUCCCCUGCCGCGCCCCGCACCACGGACGAUCGUCGCUGGUUGUUCCCGUAUCUGUGCGACAUCAACCGGCGUCAGCGCGCCUUCUGCAGCAAGCUCGAGGCCGACGGAGAUCCCCAAGGCAGGCGUGCGGGGUCGGACGGCGACACUCUCCCCGUCGCCGCUGGGUCACCCGCAAGCCAUCAAGUUGCGGAGGUCUGCAUGCGCUACUCUCGGCCCUUGGCAGCUACCGCGUUAGCCGGUUCGCAGCGCUGUGGCGCUGGGGUUGCUGAUCUGCUCUCUACCACGGGACUCCUCCGUGAAGCGUCCCGGGACGACGCCGAGCUGUCAGUCGUCAGGGACGCGCUUCCAAUGUGUACCUUGUGGGGAUCUGUUCUUCGUCUGUGGUGCACCGCGGGGGGAGAAUGUCCAAAUCUGCGCACUCUUGCUGCAGCUGCCCAGCUGCAGUGCCUCUCGCCGCGUGGCAAACCGUUGGAAGCAGAUGAUGCUGGCAUGCGGUGCAUGUGUGCCGCCUUGUGGGCGGGAGCGCCAGACAAGCUGCGGCGGCUCCUGGACGCGGUGGGCAUGAGCAAGGACAACGACGCCGCGUCAGAGGAGCGAGGACGGCGUCACACAAAUUUGUCGCGCGCAGGCUCGCCAGCGGCGAGGAGUGCGCCGCCUCAGAGGCGGCCUCGCAGCCCUGCAGAGCGCGGCACCGACGACGCACCUCAGAGGAGAGCUCGUCGCGAUGCAGGUGUCAACAGUGCGCUGGGCGAGGGCGGUGGUGCCACCAGCUCCCUCGUCCCGUCCCUCCCUCUCCGGGCUACCUCUGCCCGUGCCCAGGCAACCGCCUCACGAUCACGCUCGCAAACUCCGCCGUCGCGCAGCCGUUCACAGUCGCCGCCGCCGCCGGUGUCCGUCGCGCCGGCCACCCGGCCUGCGACGGCGGCACGCACGCGUCAGUCCGCUUUCUCUUUCGCAGUGCGAGUCGGCGACAGCAGUGGCGGCACCGCGGCUGUCAGUGCAGCCGUCGCGCCGAAGCCCCAGCAGCAGCAGCAGGAGCGGGAGAACGGUGAUGCGAGUGACAUGGCUGGAGUGACGGAGAGUCAAACGGGGCUAGUCAGCAGCGCGCCACACUCGCACGACGGCCCACCGCAGUCGCAGCAACAUCCUGCUAGCGUGUCGCCGUCUGGACCGCUUCGCCAGAAGACCCUCGCGGCAUUUAUCAGCGGCGGUGGACUCUCCAAACCACACCAAUGCCAACAGCAGAAGCCUCCGCCACCCGCCUCGACUGCGAAGCGCUCAUCAUGGUUUAACCAACCGCCACAGCAGCAGCCUGUUGCCCCAUCCAAGGCCCCGCCGUACGAGCACGGCCUGCGUCAUAGCACCGGCAGCAGCAGGAUCGGCGGGGGCGUUGAUCGAGGGGAUGAGGAGAGCUCGCGUGCUCUGAUGGCGGCACCGAGUAGUGGGAACAACCUGGCGCCGAGCAGCAGCAUCAGCAGCCCAUCCACCACUAUUGGCGGCUUCGUCACGGCUGGUGAGCAGCUCCUCACGGACGUCCGGCAAGGACGCACCAUGAGCUCCGCGUAUCUGAGCAAGCGGUCUCCAGCCCUCGGGCUGCGGCGAAACACCGGCUUUCAGCCUCCACAUCAUCAACAGCAGCCGAAGACGCCAGCAGGCGCGACCGACGUACAGACCGCGCUGAACAGCAUAACAACACCUCAUGUACGCAAAGGAAUCGGUGGCGCAAGUCAGGCCGCUGGACCGUCAGGUGGCACUUGCGGGGUCCGCGGCACGGGAGGCGCCACCGCGAGCCACAACCAAGGCGAUGGGGACGACGACAGCGGGAGCUUUCCGGCCUCCCUGCUGCUGCCAGACGGCUCUGUCCCGCCGAUCCUCCUGCCACUCGACCCGAAGCUCGUGACGCAGGUGGCGAUGGAGAUACUGGAGAACGGCGCCGGCGCGCGGCAGGUGGGCUGGGACGACAUCGCAGGGCUGCAGCACGCCAAGGCGAGCGUGGAGGAGGCGAUCGUAUGGCCGCUGCGCCGUCCAGACCUGUUUGUAGGGCUGCGCGACCCGCCGCGCGGGCUGCUGCUCUUCGGCCCACCCGGCACUGGAAAGACGAUGAUCGCCCGCGCGAUCGCGAACCGCGCGGCGUGCACCUUCCUGAACAUCUCGUCCUCCUCGCUCAUGUCCAAGUGGGUGGGCGAUGGCGAGAAGCUGGUGCGCUGUCUUUUUGCCGUCGCGACUGUGAAGCAGCCGAGUGUCAUCUUCAUCGACGAAAUCGACUCGCUGCUGUCCGUGCGCGGAGAGGGGGAGACGGACUCCGUGCGGCGAGUCAAGACGGAGUUUUUGGUGCAGCUGGACGGUGUGGCGACGGACCGCGGCGACCGGGUGCUCCUCAUUGGGGCAACCAACCGACCAGACGAGCUGGAUGAGGCCGCACGGCGGCGCAUGGAGAAGCGGCUAUACAUCCCGCUGCCGGACGAGGCGGCCCGGCGUGAGCUGAUUCAACGUCUUCUCAAGUCGCUCGGCCCAAGUGAAGCGGACGAGGAUGGCGCCCUUGGCAGUGCUGGCAAGGCUGCCAGCACUGCCACUGCGACGACAACAACUCAAGUCACGCAUACGCUUACCGACGCCGACCUGGACAGUCUCGUGCGCAGCACUGACGGCUACUCUGGUGCCGACCUCAAGCAGCUCUGCAGGGAGGCCGCCAUGGGGCCUCUUCGUGAGAUGUCUGUCAUGCAGCUCAGCGCCGUGGCUGCUGCCGAUCUCCGACCGGUGCAGCGCAAAGACUUUAGGCAAGCCCUGAAGCGGCUAAAGCCCAGCGUGGGGCCGGCCGAGGUGCAGCGAUACGUAGAAUGGAAUAAGCUUUUCGGCUCCUUCAAUGAGCACGACGACGAUGAAGACGACGAUGACGAGCUCGAACAUCAAGAGGGCCAUGGCGCCUGCUGAUUGCCGAGAAGUCCACCUGCCCAGCCGUCAGGGUCACACAUGCGCACGUACAACCACACGUGAGAGCACACAACAGCACAACCUUCUCGCGCCAGCAGCGGAUAAGAAAUGGAGAGAUGCAGUGACGGUGGCGGCAAGUUUGAAGACUGAGAGGCACGGCC